CCAAGGGGGAAGGAGCUCUCAUAGAAGAAGCUAACUAGAGAUGUUUGACUGCCUGUUCUGCUUCUGAGCUGUGCAACUACCUACACGACUGGAAACUGAAUACUCUGCGGGCCACAUCGGCAGGGGCUGCACACCCAUGGGUGGCAUGAGGAAAACACAGAGCAAGACAGGAUGAGAAGAACGCAUGGCUCAUACACAAGAAGCAGACCAGCUGUUGCUGGACCACUGAGCUGCUGGUUGCGUAGCAACACUUCACCUCUCUGCCUGCAAAAACGGUUUGGGAAGGGACUAAGUUAUGAAAAUAUAAAUGAGAAGAUUUGUUUGUGGUAAA